rnacentral:rRNA from 1 species
AUACGGAGGGUGCAUGCGUUAUUCGGAAUCACUGGGCGUAAAGGACGCGUAGGCGGGUUGGCAAGUCAGAUGUGAAAUCCUACAGCUUAACUGUAGAACUGCAUUUGAAACUGCUAACCUAGAGUAUGAGAGGGGGAGAUGGAAUUAGUGGUGUAGGGGUAAAAUCCGUAGAUAUCACUAGGAAUACCGAAAGCGAAGGCGAUCUCCUGGAACAUAACUGACGCUAAGGCGUGAAAGCGUGGGGAGCAAACAGAAUUAGAAACCCUAGUAGUCC